rnacentral:rRNA from 1 species
UACGUAGGGGGCAAGCGUUGCCCGGAAUCAUUGGGCGUAAAGCGCACGUAGGCGGCCCGGUAAGUCCGUUGUGAAAGUCAGAGGCUCAACCUCUGGAGGCCAAUGGAUACUGCCGGGCUAGAGUCCGGAAGAGGCGAGUGGAAUUCCUGGUGUAGCGGUGGAAUGCGCAGAUAUCAGGAGGAACACCAAUGGCGAAGGCGGCCUCCUGGAUCGACACUGACGCUAAGGCGCGAAAGCGUGGGGAGCAAACAGG